CCUUAUGUUAUUUUCCCAUGAUGACCAAUAAAAAACGACAGUGUUACCCCUUAUGUUUUUUUUCUUGACGACCAAUAAAAAACUACAGUGCUACCCCUUAUGUUUUUUUUCAUGAAGACCAAUAAAAAACGACAGUGUUACCCCUUAUCUUUUUUUUCACGACGACCAAAGAAAAACGACAGUUUCACCCCUCAUGUUUCAUGUGAUAAAAACGACAGUGUUACCCCCUAUGUUUUAUUCGAUACAUUUCGACAGUGUUACCCCUUAUGGGUUUUUCAUGACAACAGAUAAAAAAUGACAGUGUUACCCUUUACGUUUCAUUUGAUCAACAGUGUUUCAUUUCAUCAACAGUGUUACCGCAAAUAUUUUAUUUGACAAGGACAAUUUUUUUUUUUUAAAUAUGUUUUUUUUCAUGACGACCAAUAAAAUACGACAGUGAUACCCCUUAUAUUCUAUUUGACAAAGACAACAGUGUUACCCCUUAUGUUUUUUUUCAUGACGACCAAUAAAAAACAACAGUGUUACCCCUUAUGUUUUUUUACAUGACGACCAAUAAAAAACUACAGUGUUACCCCCUAUGUUUUAUUUGAUGAAUAUCGACAGUGUUAUGUUUACUUCAUGACGGCCAAAAAAAAACGACAGUUACCCCUCAUGUUUUUUCCAUGUUGACCAAUAAAUAACGUCAGUGGUACUGUCUACAUUUUUGCGGGGAUCCGAACCUGAGUAUUAACCUCCGAACUUAUCAAUGCACCAUCAAGACACCAAAUAAACACAACACAAUGGUUAUACUUGACUUUAUAAUUCACAUGAAAUAGAGAUAAGAGUCUUCCAACAGAGGACAUCAACCAGACUUGAACCCCGGUCUCCAGCUCACAGCUCUCUCCACUGCCCACUGAGAUUUAUAUUUUAAAUAUGUCUGUGGUUAUAUAUGAAAAUAUAUAUGCAAUAGACAUGAUAGCAUUACGUUUCAAAUUAAAGAUAUUGUGUUUUCCACAGAAAUUGAGCCGCGGUCUCCAGUGGGUUAGGCUGAGUACACUCCACUGCACCACUGAGGCGAUGACAAUACACAAUAAUCAAUCAUCAAUAAAGAGGAUAUACAUGACAUUAAAAUGUAUGUGUGUAUUUCUAUUAUUUCCCUUACGUUUUUUUCAUGAAGACCAAUAAAAAACGACAGUGUUACCCCUUAUGUUUUUUUCAUGACGACCGAUAAAAAACGACAGUGUUACCCCUUAUGUUUCAUUUGAUUAAAACGACAGUGUUACCCCUUAUGUUUCAUUUGAUUAAAACGACAGUGUUACCCCUUGUGUUUUUUUUCAUGACGACCAAAGAAAAACAACAGUGUUACCCCCUAUGUUUUAUUUGAUAAAUAUCAACAGUGUUACCCCUUUUGUUUUUCUUUCAUGACGACCAAUAAAAAACAACAGUGUUACCCCUUAUGGUUUUUUUCAUUUAGACCAAUAAAAAACAACAGUGUCACCCCUCAUGUUUCAUUUGAUAGAAACGACACUGUUACCCCCUAUGUUUUAUUCGAAACAUUUCGACAGUGUUACCCCUUAUGGGUUUUUCUUGACGACAGAUAAAGAACGACAGUGUUACCCUUUACGUAUCUUUUGAGAAAAAC
ensembl:lncRNA